AUUGUUUUUUGGCCUUUUGUUUAAGAUCAAGUGUCGUGUUUGUUUUUAAUCACUUUAAUAUCUAAUAUGUUCUUUAAAUGAGAAUAUUAUGUUCAAUAGAUUUUUAGACCAGGGAGUUGGGGUUUACUCUUUCUGCUCCACCCAUCAACCUGGUAUUAUAGUAUCUCCAGGAAUAGUGCCUUGUUC